CGGACAAUUCAAAACUUAUUGAGGUCUAAACCAAGUAACCUAAAAGUAUGAAUGUGUGAUCCUAAAAGUUGAAUGAUUAAUUGCUUUUAGCAUUUGAUGAGGACAAUCAAAAAAUAAGUUACAAUCAGAUAAUACGGAUUUCGGGCGGUACUUCAAUUCGGGUCCAUAAUUUCUCUGUGGUGGGGUUGGUUUUACCUUUCAUUUUAUAUGGAUUUUGUCUUCUUUUGUUGAUUGCAGUUUUAUUUUGUUGCUGGUGGUGUCUGAUUGUGGUGAUAUUGUUCUGUGCGGUGCUGAUGCUGUAUUUAAUGGUUAUGUGCAUUCAUUUUUCUUUCCCAAUCAAAUUCGUUUCCAGAACUUUGUUUUGGCAGUGAGUUUUGCUAUUGCAAUGGAGAUAUGUUGGCUGACAUUGUUCAUGGGAUGGACUCCAGGAGAAUUAAAAAUAGGCAUCUACCACAUCAAUUCUUGGUAAAUUUCUAUCUUCCCUAUGUUUCUUUUUUUUCUUUUUGGUCAGGUAGCCUAGUGGCUGGAGCUCACACAUUUUAAAUGUGGAGAAGUGGGGUUUCCGGGAUUCGAACCCCGGCCCCUGCAUAUAAAAUGCAUUUGUCCCUACCAACUGAGCAAAGCUUACGGGGACACCUAUGUUUCUUUUUUAUAAUCAGCUUUUGUGUGAUGAUACUAUCAACAUAUACUUUUUUCUCAUUAAUUUCAUCAAGUUUAUAUUGGAGAGACACCAAAUGUCUAUAUAAUAGAGCCACUUUGCAGUGCUUGAACGUGAAUUUUUUUACUCUUACAUAUCUUAAAGACAUUAACAGUUUUCAAAAUAAUUUGUGAUGAAGGCAUGUUUCAUUUUAAAAGAAGAGCUCAACAAGUAAAGGUUAGAUCAAUAUUUCUUAUGCACUAAUUUUGACAGAUCAUGUGUUCCCUGCACAUACUCAACGAGUCUAUUUGAGGCAUCAAUGGCUAUGUGUAUGAUUUUAGCAUUAUAUAUCAAUCAAUAUCAAUACUCUUAACAAGCUGCGGAAAAAAUACACUCUUUAGAUUUGCAAGCCUUUUAUAUUAGAAUUAUGUGAUUACUACAGACCUUUAAGUACUUAGACUUACGACACCACCCUAUCUAUCACUGAGAAGGAAAUAACAGAGAAAGUGACAGAGUUGUGGCAAGGAAAGAAUUUGGUUCAUUUUCAUCACUGUGGUUGAUUGGUUGUUGUUCUACGAUUUGAUUUCUUGCUCUUAUUGUUCAUCUAAUUUUUUUUUUUCUUUUCUAAAAUUGAUAGGUUUCCCUUCUAACUUCUUUCAUUUGCAGUCUUGGUUGAAUCAUCUAUUCAUGCUUUUUUGAAUGCUUUAUGAUAUGGGCAUGGACUCAUUAUGAGGUCCAUCUCUAUCCCUCGGACUAUAUCUUUCUAGAACAUAUAUUUUGUAACCGGUCAUUGGAUAUGGAGAACAUUUUUGUUGUGGGAUUUGACAUGGACUAUAUCUUUUCUAAUGUAUGUGGGAUUGGUUUGGUAUUUGGUGUGUGGUUUUUCAUCUAUUAAGAAACUUUUAGUUCAUGCAAAAUUGCUAUUGUUUUGUGAUUAUCUACUUUAGACAAGCUCACGUUAGAGAGUAGUACUGCCAAGCAUAUAGAUCCUGAAAUGGUGUGGAAACUGUAUGUGGGCUAUGGUAGUCUGGCUCAAAACUAUUACACACAAUAGGGAAUUAAGCUGCAUGACUCAAACUUAUAUGCUGUCAUUUAGUGGCAGGGAACAUAUUAUCAUCUAUAUUCAAUUCAGGUGCCUAGAAACUAUAGUGCUAGGUGACAGGUUUCAUCAACAUUGAUAUAUUUUCUUGGUUCCAAUUUCUAAUAUUCAUACUCCUCUUACAUCUUUUAUUUCACUCUUUUUUUUUUUUUAACAAAUAUUCAAUGCAUCAUUAGACAGGGGUAAAGGAGUUAUAUGUAUGAUUGUGAUUCUCUUGAGAUUCCCAUUAGAACCAAGAUACUUGCCUUAAUGCAUGUUAUUCACUAUAUCCUUCCAUCUCUUCUAUCUUCAUGUCACAUGCAUCCUGAUUUUUUCUCCCUAACUUUUGGAGAUUUCACAUUGCUCUGAUUGGUUCCUUUUUAUAUAUGUGUGUUGUCAACUUUGUUCAUGGAACCAAUGACUAUAUGCUUUUAUUAUUGUUGUUCGAUUUAUUUUGUGAUCACUUGGACAACAACAGAAGUAUCUAGCCAUGAAGCUCCAACAAGUAAAAGAUUGAAUUUGAAGGUGAUGACAACCAUGUAAGUGUUGUCCUUAUGCUUAAAAGGUGGCCGCUAUCUUAAAAAAUAUAAUUUCCUUUUUCCUUUCUAGAUGACAGCUAUACUAUUCUGGUAUGGAUUUACCUACUAUGCUAUCAUGUAUAUUACCAUUUAUCUAUUAUCUAUUGAAGUGUCCUGAAACCUCUUAUUGUGCUGUCAAAUUUGAUCGAUCAUGGAACCAAUGGCUAUAUGCUUUUAGUGCUGUCCGUCGAUUUAUGCUAUGUGAAAUUUAGUUAUUUUAUUCAUCUCUUCGUGUCAUUUUGCUGCUGAGAUGUGGGUUAUUUGGUGUCUUUUUUGUGCAGGUUGUGUGAUAGAUGUUGAAAGCAUACAAUGAAGUGGUGAAAAGCAUGGUUUGAGAGGACACGAGUUAAAUCUGAUGUUUUAAAUUUUUUUCUUUUUAUAUUUGUAAGGUUAUUUUUUGCAAUUUAUUGAGUAUUGAGCACUAGAGAGAUAUUAUGAAGAUAUUGUGAAAAAGAAUACGAGUGUACUCAUGUUAAGCAGUUAAUGUAAAAUGAGAACAUCUUGGCUGAUGUAUAUACUUAUCAUUUCCUUAUGUAUAUUCAACUAUGUCAUGGUAAUGCAUAUUAAAAUAUUUUUAA